rnacentral:rRNA from 1 species
AGCGAACGCUGGCGGCAGGCUUAACACAUGCAAGUCGAACGGGCUUCUUCGGAAGUCAGUGGCAGACGGGUGAGUAACACGUGGGAACGUGCCCUUCGGUUCGGAAUAACUCAGGGAAACUUGAGCUAAUACCGGAUACGCCCUUAUGGGGAAAGGUUUACUGCCGAAGGAUCGGCCCGCGUCUGAUUAGCUUGUUGGUGGGGUAACGGCCUACCAAGGCGACGAUCAGUAGCUGGUCUGAGAGGAUGAUCAGCCACACUGGGACUGAGACACGGCCCAGACACCUACGGGAGGCAGCAGUGGGGAAUAUUGGACAAUGGGCGCAAGCCUGAUCCAGCCAUGCCGCGUGAGUGAUGAAGGCCUUAGGGUUGUAAAGCUCUUUUGUCCGGGACGAUAAUGACGGUACCGGAAGAAUAAGCCCCGGCUAACUUCGU